rnacentral:rRNA from 1 species
UACAGAGGUCUCAAGCGUUGUUCGGAUUCAUUGGGCGUAAAGGGCGCGUAGGCGGCCUGGCAAGUGAAAGGUGAAAUCCCUCGGCUUAACCGAGGAACUGCCUUUCAGACUGCUUGGCUUGAGACCGGGAGAGGUGAGUGGAAUUCCCAGUGUAGCGGUGAAAUGCGUAGAUAUUGGGAGGAACACCAGUGGCGAAGGCGGCUCACUGGACCGGUACUGACGCUGAUGCGCGAAAGCGUGGGGAGCAAACGGG